GAAGCUUACGUCAGAAAACAAUUGACCAUGCAUGAUCAGAUUUGUGUUAGGUACAUUACAUGUGAGUUCAAAGAAGAAGUGAAUUCUGAAAUAGAAAUCGGGGCCUCAGAAGAAAAACCUACGGAAGAGUGUGUAAGCUUCUAAAGGAAAUGAGUAAGAAGAGGGAUCGGAAGGGACUGGAGAGAUUCAAUUCUGGAGUUCUGAGAAUGGAGCGCCUGGGUGAUGAUGCAAGCAGUCCAUGUGCUUGAUUUCCAACCCCAAAGAUUGGAGGGUCCUGUCUACCCAGAGGUACCUCACCCAAAAGGCGUGGUCAUCUACUUCUGAAAACAGAGCCGUUGAAGACUCCAUGGAGCACUGUUCGACUCGACACAGAACGUCACUCUGUGUGAGAACUGAUGUAGCUGUGUCACCUGAGUAGCUGAGAAUAUUACCCUCAAGCCUCUUACAGAACAAGAAGAAUUUUUAAUAUUACAGAACAGAGUUUUCUAUGUCAAUUGCCUCGUGUCUGAAGAUGUCCACGGAAACCUUCGCUGGAUGGUUUACUGCUGUGGUGGGAAUUCCUAAAUGGUGCAAAUCAUUCAAGCAGUCCGCUGCUAGCCAGAGGUUCGGAGGUUCAGUUACACUCAGAAGCAUCUCAGAAGACAAGUCUGAUUGAUCUACUUCCAAAAACUCCGUCAUUGAAAACCCAGUUGGCCCGGCCCUCAACUCCACAGCCUGCACUUUGUACUCCAGACUACUGGAAGGAACCUAAAUAACAGGUUUUUCUAGGCACCAACCUGCCAUUGGUUGAGAAGGUACUUCUGAACUCUCUAAGAAGCACUGACAGCAAUCGAAUACCUGAUGUGUUUGUUCUUUCUGAGAAUCCCCGGCUCCCUGCUGGUGUCCCAUCUCCAGUGGAGGGCACGUAAGUGACUGGGACUGCCGUUCAAUGCCACUGAAACCAUGAUUGCAUUAAUGUCACCAGUAGCAAAUCACAGGAAAUCUUUAUAUUUUUUCUAAUUUUCACACUUCCCUAGAUGCGUGACGUUUUAUCAUCUCCCACAUCUGACAGAUAAGUAACAAUGGAAAGUCAUCUAAGAAAUAAGACAUUUGUUAGGGAGUGAUUUUUCUGAUUUCCAUACGACAGGGGCCUGAUGGUGUGAUUUAAAACUUUGUCCACCUGGUAUAUCCAAGAAUUUUGGACACUUUGGUAGAAUUUCUUCUUUACUUGACAUAGCUCUAUUGAAAUUGGGAGGGGGUAAAAAGGGAAAUACUCUGUUAAUAUGCUAAGAUUGAUUGUUAGCUGUCGUGGUAUCUAAUGAAAUGAUAAGACUUUGCCUUGACUCCUAGCAAUUAGACUGUCAGUACUCUUCACAUAAGAUAUUGCAGGAGCUGAAAGAGGACUGUGUCCAAUGAUCUUUCAUGCAGCACUAAGAAUAAUCCACUUCUCUGAGACUGCUUGGUUUUUAGGGUUUCUGUUCUUACAGGAUUUCUGCUGCAGAGCCCAGGAGUGAAUCCUCCUAGGAUUCACUCUGCCAUUUCAUUAAUGCUAGAUGUCUCAUAACUGCCUCUGUCAAGUUUAUCUGACAUUCAUUGGCCUCUGUUAAGUCCAUGUGGCAUUCAUUGGGAAUGUCCUUUGGUUAAACUUUCUAACAGUUCUCAGCUUUACAGUGUGGUGAAUGUCUAGCAAAUUGAUUUAGUGUCUUAGUUUUCCAUUUUGGUUGAACUGGUAUUCCUUUUGGAGUUUGGAGUUAUACAUGAAGGAAUUUCUGGGCUUAACCCUCUCUCCUCCUUUUGUUACAGGAUUUACCCCAAAUCUUCCACACUCUUCUAAUAGGGCCCUGAAGAAUGUCAGAUGACAGUUGGAUGUAGAAGCGCUUUGGAAGCUGUGAAUGAAAAGGCAGUGUACCCUGUGAUCAAGAACUGACAGGACUGAAAGCUGACGUCCAAGCUGCACCGAAGGCAUUGCCCCACGCAAGGUGCAGGGAGUGACACAGUGUCAUCGUCUGAGAUGUUGCACCAACGGGAGCAGCUCUGAAAGAGCUCACUGGGCUACGCCACAACCUUUGGAAGACACCUCUCUGCCCCAGAACAGAUCUCUACCUAUGCCCAUGUGAAGUCCUGCUAUAAGAAUCCUAAUUUCUCUACCUGAAGGUGGAUAUCACCAGUCAAUGAAAGAGAAGAAUAUGUACAUGGAACAUAGAGAAAUAUAAUCUUAAACUAC